GAAGAAAUGUCUGUAAAUAUAUAGUUUUUAAUUAUAAUUUUCCGAAGCAGCUGGAUCAGGAGGUGGAGAUGGUGGAGUAGAACACUUACCAAAUGAGGGAUAUGAUACUCAUCUAUCAUGAUGCAAAAAGCUCGCCAUCCACAAUUGGCACUCUUUGGAAUGUUCUAAAAAGGAACCUGCGCUGACCGGUUGUUGGGUCUGCUGCUCCUUGGGCUUCGGAGUGAGAGUACCUUUGGCCUGUACCGUGCCCGUAUGUUGCUUCUGGAGGCUAUCCGUCUUCACUUCACUUG